GCACUGGUUUAGCUCAGUGGUUACUUCGAACACAUUUUCUUCUGUAGAAAAGCUGCUCUCCAUCCCUCCCUGGGAUCAAACCACGGGUGCUGUCCAGUGUUUUU
rnacentral:vault_RNA from 1 species